ensembl:lncRNA
UAGCACGGCAAAGGGGUCGUUGUAGCACGGCAAAGGGGUCCUUCUAGCACGGCAAAGGGGUCGUUGUAGCACGGUAAAGGGGUCGUUAUAGCACGGUAAAGGGGUCGUUAUAGCACGGUAAAGGGGUCGUUAUAGCACGGUAAAGGUUUUGUUAUAGCACGGUAAAGGGUUUGUUAUAGCACGGUAAAAGGAUUGUUAUAGCACGGUAAAGUGGUCCUUAUAGCACGGUAAAGGGUCUAUUAUAGCCUGGUAAAGUGGUUCUUAUAGCACGUUAAAGGGGUCGUUAUAUCACGGUAAAGAGGUCGUAAUAGCACGGUAAAGGGUUUGUUAUAGCACGGUAAAGGUUUUGUUAUAGCACGGUAAAGGGGUCGUUAUAGCACGGUAAAGGGUUUGUUAUAGCACGGUAAAUGUUUUGUUAUAGCCUGGUAAAGUGGUCCUUAUAGCAUGGUAAAGGGGUUGUUAUAGCCUGGUAAAGUGGUCCUUAUAGCAUGGUAAAAGGGUCAUUAUAGCCUGGUAAAGGGGUUGUUAUAGCAUGGUAAAGUGGUCCUUAUAGCACGGUAAAGGGGUCGUUAUAGCCUGGUAAAGUGGUCCUUAUAGCACGGUAAAGGGGUCAUUAUAG